AUUGAAAGCUGGCGGCAGGCCUAACACAUGCAAGUCGGGCGAGCGGAGGACGGGUGAGUAAUGUAUGUGGAUCUGCCUGAUGGAGGGGGAUAACUACUGGAAACGGUAGCUAAUACCGCUUACCAACAGUUGAACCUAGAUGGGAUUAGCUUGUAUGUGAGGUAACGGCUCACCUAGGCGACGAUCCCUAGCUGGUCUGAGAGGAUGAUCAGCCACACUGGGACUGAGACACGGCCCAGACUCCUACGGGAGGCAGCAGUGGGGAAUAUUGCACAAUGGGCGCAAGCCUGAUGCAGCCAUGCCGCGUGUAUGAAGAAGGCCUUCGGGUUGUAAAGUACUUUCAGUCGGGAGGCGUUACCGACAGAAGAAGCACCGGCGAACUCCGUGCCAGCAGCCGCGGUAAUAC
rnacentral:rRNA from 1 species